rnacentral:rRNA from 1 species
GACGAACGCUGGCGGCGUGCUUAACACAUGCAAGUCGAACGAGUGGCGAACGGGUGAGUAAUCGUUGGUAACCUGCCCUCCUUUUUGGGAUAAGCCUUGGAAACGGGGUCUAAUACCGCAUACUAUCAGAUGAGCCUAGGUCGGAUUAGCUAGUUGGUGGGGUAAAGGCCUACCAAGGCGACGAUCCGUAACUGGUCUGAGAGGAUGAUCAGUCACACUGGAACUGAGACACGGUCCAGACUCCUACGGGAGGCAGCAGUGGGGAAUAUUGCACAAUGGGCGCAAGCCUGAUGCAGCCAUGCCGCGUGUAUGAAGAAGGCCUUAGGGUUGUAAAGUACUUUCAGCGGGGAGGCGUUACCCGCAGAAGAAGCACCGGCUAACUCCGUGCCAGCAGCCGCGGUAAUUC